GGCUCAGAGAAGAACUGGAGAAGGCUUGGUGAAGGCCACAGUGGUGCCUGUGGUGAUUGGAGCACUGGGGGCAGUGACCCCCAAACUGGAGGAGUGGCUACAACAGAUCCCUGGAAAAACAUCCAACAUCUCAGUCCAGAAAAGUGCAGUCCUAGGAACAGUAGGGAUACUGCGCAGAACCCUCAAGCUCCCUGGCCUCUGGUAGAGGACCCGAGCUUGGAAAGUGGAUGAGACCACCCACGGAGGGUGAGAAUAGAGUGUGUAUAUAUAUAUAUAGAGAGAGAGAGAUUAUAUUGAGACAAGAUCACAACCUCACAAUUGUUUUCAUCCUUGCCACUGACAAUAUCACUAAAAUGCUAUAUAUUUAUUUGUUUUUAAUCUUGGAUAAUGACAUCGAUGCCUCAGAAAGUGUGUCAUGAAAGGACUUAGCAUAUACCUUAACGAGGAUCCUAAUGGUCUACUACAGGAGUACACGGACAUGACUGAGGCCAACACCAAGAGCAAUCAAGAGAACAACAGUGGAGAUGUUGCCAGAGAGACUCAUACCAGUGACUGUUCGGAUAUUGGAGUAAUCCUUGAGGGUGUGGUGAUACUUACUGUAAAGAUCUGGACAACGUGGCCCUCACAUCUGCCUUGCUGUUUGGACUUUUUUUAUGUCUUUUAAAUGUGAAGUACCUAAAAAGCUUCAAUACACCUUUUUAAAGCUAUUCAAAAUGGAGUUAGAUGAAGUAAAACUGUCAAAGAAGGUUCAAAGCUUGGAAACUAAACUUCACUAAUGGGACAGUCAGCAUUCAUGUUCCUGGAGCACUGUAGCUUUGAGACCAAGAACAUUUUGAGUAGGUUGGAUAACCUCUAGUUCUGCAUACUGAAUACUGUAGUUCUUUUAAAACCUAUCUAAAGUAUGUGAUGUUUUAGUAAUAACUGUUUGUUCCUUAAAUUUUGAAUUAAUCAUCAAUUUGCUUUUGUACAGUUAAAAUUACAUUGCAGUUAUUUGCAUUUGAUAAAUCUUUGUAUUGGUGCCUUUUAAGGUGCCCUUGGUAUCUGUUCUACAGUAUGUGGUCAUGUGACAUUAUGCAUUAAAAGUGUAGACAAAAAUAAAAUGCAUUGUUAAAACUGUACA
rnacentral:lncRNA from 1 species